rnacentral:rRNA from 1 species
UACGGAGGGGACUAGCGUUGUUCGGAAUUACUGGGCGUAAAGCGCACGUAGGCGGAUUGUUUAGUCAGGGGUGAAAUCCCGAGGCUCAACCUCGGAACUGCCUUUGAUACUGGCAAUCUCGAGUCCGGAAGAGGUGAGUGGAAUUCCUAGUGUAGAGGUGAAAUUCGUAGAUAUUCGGAGGAACACCAGUGGCGAAGGCGGCUCACUGGUCCAUUACUGACGCUGAGGUGCGAAAGCGUGGGGAGCAAACAGG